UUCCAAAAUGCUGAGUUCAGUUCAGGGCAGCUUCCCCGUUCUGUUGAAGAAACAUCAGGACAUCGGAACGCAGGCCAGGAGAGAUGAUUAGGUAGAAAGCAUUGCUCUAUUCAUUUACCUCCCAGACCAUGAAA